CCUACGGGAGGCAGCAGUAGGGAAUAUUGCUCAAUGGGGGAAACCCUGAAGCAGCAACGCCGCGUGGAGGAUGAAGGUUUUCGGAUCGUAAACUCCUGUUGUUAGAGAAGAUAAUGACGUUAUCUAACGAAUAAGCACCUGCUAACUCCGUGCCAGCAGCCGCGGUAAUACGGAGGGUGCAAGCGUUACUUGGAAUCACUGGGCGUAAAGAGCGCGUAGGUGGGAUAGCAAGUCAGAUGUGAAAUCCUAUGGCUUAACCAGAGAACUGCAUUUGAAACUGUUAUUCUAGAGUAUGGGAGAGGUAGGUGGAAUUCUUGGUGUAGGGGUAAAAUCCGUAGAGAUCAAGAGGAAUACUCAUUGCGAAGGCGACCUGCUAGAACAUAACUGACGCUGAUGCGCGAAAGCGUGGGGAGCAAACAGGAUUAGAUACCCGUGUAGUC
rnacentral:rRNA from 1 species